rnacentral:rRNA from 1 species
GUGGGGAAUCUUAGACAAUGGGGGAAACCCUGAUCUAGCCAUGCCGCGUGAGCGAUGAAGGCCUUAGGGUUGUAAAGCUCUUUCAGCUGGGAAGAUAAUGACGGUACCAGCAGAAGAAGCCCCGGCUAACUCCGUGCCAGCAGCCGCGGUAAUACGGAGGGGGCUAGCGUUGUUCGGAAUUACUGGGCGUAAAGCGCACGUAGGCGGAUCAGAAAGUCAGAGGUGAAAUCCCAGGGCUCAACCUUGGAACUGCCUUUGAAACUCCUGGUCUUGAGGUCGAGAGAGGUGAGUGGAAUUCCGGGUGUAGAGGUGAAAUUCGUAGAUAUUCGGAGGAACACCAGUGGCGAAGGCGGCUCACUGGCUCGAUACUGACGCUGAGGUGCGAAAGCGUGGGGAGCAAACAGGAUUAGAAACCCUGGUAGUCC